GUGGGGAAUAUUGGACAAUGGGCGCAAGCCUGAUCCAGCCAUACCGCGUGGGUGAAGAAGGCCUUCGGGUUGUAAAGCCCUUUUGUUGGGAAAGAAAUCCUGUCGAUUAAUACUCGGUGGGGAUGACGGUACCCAAAGAAUAAGCACCGGCUAACUUCGUGCCAGCAGCCGCGGUAAUACGAAGGGUGCAAGCGUUACUCGGAAUUACUGGGCGUAAAGCGUGCGUAGGUGGUGGUUUAAGUCUGCUGUGAAAGCCCUGGGCUCAACCUGGGAAUUGCAGUGGAUACUGGGUCACUAGAGUGUGGUAGAGGGAUGCGGAAUUUCUGGUGUAGCAGUGAAAUGCGUAGAGAUCAGAAGGAACAUCCGUGGCGAAGGCGGCAUCCUGGGCCAACACUGACACUGAGGCACGAAAGCGUGGGGAGCAAACAGGAUUAGAUACCCUAGUAGUCC
rnacentral:rRNA from 1 species